rnacentral:lncRNA from 1 species
CUAGAAGUGGAAAUGUUAACUAGCGACAUAAGAUCAGAGUACAGCUGUGCCUAAAUGUACCAGGCUUCUGGCCCAGUGAGCAAAGUCUGUGAAAGAUUAAAAAGAGAGAGAGAGAGAGAGAGAGAACGAACUAUAUUGCUUUUCCUAAAUUCAAAGAGUAAACUUUUGCCACAUAAAUUCAGAUUUUCUGGAAUGAGACAUGAGAAAUGAAGAAAGCAAACUUGGAUGAUUUUAAGGUAAAUAUUUCCCAGGUAAUUGUGUUGAGAGGUGUCUGUUUCUCCUUCUUCUGGCAGAGAGACAAGCAGCCUGUAACAUCUUUCCAGAGAAAUACCUCGGAUUUGUUUCAGUGACCUUACAGUCUGGGUAUGAUGGCACCGGCACACACAAGAGUUUAUUGGUUAAUAAUGAAUGAAUCACAUUUUAUUUGUAUGUUUUAGGACAAUUUAUAAGCUCUUGUGGUUGAUUCAGGCUGUAAGACACCACCUAACAAAAUAUGGUUUCAGUAUCUGCAUGGGCUGCUCUUCCUUCUAGGUGGAAGCAGGGUUCCAAAAAGCAGGCGAGGUAUGACUGCCGGCCAAACUCAUAACCCCAAUUACCCAGCACUUCGACCAAGGCCUCCAAGGAUCAGGCAUCGCUUCUGGUCGCUUUGGUAUGCUUGGAUAGAAGACAAAUCAAUUUCAACAGUCUGUGAUUGACAUUAUUAUUAUGAUGAUGAUGAUGAUGAUGAUGAUGAUGAUGAUGAACCAUAACAUCCUGAGACAUUUAUCAGGCAUAUAAUGUUUCGAGUAUUUUUCUCUUUAUAUUCUUUAACAAAGAUACUAUUAUUUCACCCAUUUUAUAUUUGAGGUUUAGGCCGUUUUUUUUUUGUUUGUUUCAUUUUGUUUUUUAAUUUGCCCAGAAUUAGACAUCUGGUAUAACAGAGCUGGGGCCUUCAGUAGAGACUCUGGAAUACCUUUGUUAAAAACGUGAAAUACUCCCUCUAUAUAUGAUGUGUCAAAGUGCAUUCUGCUGUCAUGUAUAACUAGUUAGAACAAAUAAAAAAAAAUCUGUGAAACUAUACUUUAGUCGUUCUUAAUUGAAUUAAGCAGGAAAGAUUUACCAAGCUAAAUAAUCAGCAAAUGGUUCCAAACUGUAUGCAAUCAAAUGCUGAAUAGUGAAAAGCAGAUUCUGAAGACCUAGAGAUGGUCAGCAGAAAGGAAACCCAGUGGGAAAGGCCCAGGGAAGGCUUGCAGGAGAAGAUGCAGUGUGAGGCAGUCUUUGAAGUGACCUUCACUGUGCAGAGAGAGCAACGAAAGCAAAGACAGCAGGCUGGAAGAGAUUUGGAGGUAUGGGGGCCAAUGAAGGGGCCAGCCUGAGCAGAAAAGAAAUAGUUGUCCCCUUUCAGGUUUAUUCCUCCAGGUUUCAAGUUCACAAGGAACUCAAAAAGACAUACAGAUCAACCCAGGUACUAUGCAAUGGCACACCCGACAGGCAAUGGGGCUGGAAGCUGCCCUUGAACUACCAUGAAGAAAGCAUGCUCUGUAAUCCUGUAAUCAACAUAACACAGACUGAGUACCCACCACGUGUGCUACUAAUGCUAAAUGUCGGGAAUAGAAGGGAGAAGCAGAUGCAAUUCUGGUCCCCAGGGCACUUAGAACUGCAUAAGCACAUAAGUGUUCAUGGGACCAGUGAGUCUGGGGACGAGUAUGACAAUAAGGACAAACUUAAGUAUAAAGGAACAAAGGAAGGAGUAUUCCAUCUCUCUCGAGGCAGAAAGUCUUUUCAAUAGUAACACUUGAUGUGGGCCUUGCAGGAGGAGCAAAUCAUGAAGCUGGAGAAAGGAAUGGAGUUGCAGACAGAAGAGGUGGCAGGAGAAAUUGCCUGUAAGGAAACCCACAUGUGCUUGUAAGGAAAGCAGCCCAGCAGAGCUGGAUGGAGAAAACACCCAAGGUGCCUGAGGUGAGGUGGCAGAGCCAGCUGGAGUAGUGUCAGGAGACACUUGGGGUGAGGAAUAAGACAAGAAGGAAUUUGAACACAGUGGGGAGCCACAGAAGAACUUGAUCAUAACAAUGAGAUUAUUUGACCUCUGAUAUAAGAUGAAAAUCUGGCAAUGGUAAAGGAUGUAUGCCUAAGGGGUGAACUAAAAGGCUCCUUUGAUAUUCAAAGAUGAAGAUGAUAUCAUCAAGGGAGCCUGAAUUCAAGUGAUGGUAAUGGACAGGAAAAGGAUUCCCAAGGCAUGAAAGAUGAUCAGGCACACUUAGUAUCUAAAAGAUAAUGAUGACUUCCGAUUUUAGUGACUUUGGGAUAAUGGUGUCACGAAACAGGACAGGGACAAGACCAAAAGCAAUCAGGAAUAAGUGCUACUUAGACUAGAAAAAUACUCCUAAUGCUGAACACAUGCUGGUACAGUCUCAAACAAAACUGGGUGAUGCUAUUUUCUUUAAUGACUGUGUAGUCUGCCGUGGCAGGUGGCCCAGAGGAGUGAUAACAGGGACAGAGGACCCCCCCUCCCCAGGUCACUGGUUCAAAGUCAUAGUUCUCAAGUGUCUGAAACUUGUUCUCCUAUCUGACAGCUGUUCAAUGGCUCAUGUGAGAGGAAUUAGAGGUCUUAGUUGAGGUCCUAGCAAAACAGGUGCUCCUCUUUAUAACUGACACCUUUGUUGAUGGAGGAGCGAUUUUUUUUUCAAGAAAUAAGGCAGUUCUAGUCCUUAGGUUGCCUGUUGAGGCAUUUUUGGACUAACCAGAGUCAUUUUUUUUUCCCAAGAGCAUUCAACCGUGGCACAGCUGAUUUGUUUGAAAUGUUUAAGAUUUUUAAAAAUCAAGAAUAGGCGUUGACUGAGAGUGCUAAAGCAACCAUUUAAUAGAGCUUUUCUGCUUCCAUCUGUCCUUUACUCUUUUGAGGUCACUUCCCUAAAGAGAUUUGUCACAUAACAGGUCUCUAUUCCUUUCUCUAUUCCUUUUCAUUUCCUUGUCAACAUCUGGAUCUAAAGAAAGCAUUCAGCCUGAAAUAGUGGAUCUCCCUCCCUUUGGAAAAUAACACUAUAUGUUUUUGACACUAUAGGUUUUUCAAAUAUAUAUAAUACAUAUAUAUAGUACAUAUAUAUGUAUACAUAUAUUUAAUACAUACAUAUAUAAUUUAUAUAUAUAUAUAUAAUUUUAAAAAAUAUUUUAUUCCCUUCAAACUAGAAUUCCAAGUGGGAGGAUAUUUGUCCUGAACAUUAGGUAGGACACACAGGUCGUUCCCAAAGACCUCCACAGCAGAGGAGACCUUGUGCUCCACAACCAUGUUUGCUUACCCUGCACCAGUGUGUGGACUGGCCUGUGGCAAACCACUGUAAAAGAACGAAGUCACAUAAGAAUUGUGCUUGAGUCUGUACAUUCCUUGGUGUCAACUAAAGCCACAGGAACUUUGGCAGUAUUUUCAAGUUACACCCAUUCCCCCAUUGCAAUGCAGGUCUGUGAACUAAAGUCUCAGCUCUGCCAAAAACCACAGUGAUUAUCAACAGUAUAAGUAAUCAAGUAAAAGCAUAUUUUUUUCCACAGCCCACUGGCCAGAUUGUCAUGAAAGCAAAAAGUAGCAGCAAAAAUUGAUUGCUGUCUGCAAAGAUAAUUUCUAUCUGAAUUCUAUUAUUGUAUUGCAUCGGUGAUACAUAAUGUGUGCCCUGCAUCUUUGCCAUAAACAUUUUAGGUUUAAUUUAGAAAUCUCUGAGUCAUUAGAAAAGUUCUUUCUCAUGAUAAUGAAGAGGGCACUGUGAACUCAGCACUGAAAAGGGAAAGGAAAAAACAGGCAAGAUACCCACGUGAGAAGUAGAAAAAAUGACCAGUGGGCCAAAUAAUAGGAAGAAAUUCAAAAUAUACAUAGCUGCUUUCUAUUGAAUAAUUAAUACAUGCCUCGCUGUUUUUCAUUAUAAAGCAGCUUGAGUAUUUUCAAUGUUCCAAUAAAAUGUGCUCUGGUUGUUGAUUUGUUGUUGUCGUUUUGAAUGCUUCAUUUCUGGGAGGAAAAUGAGACUCGGAUUCGAGAAAACAAGACCUAAUAGAUCGACUCAACUAAACCUGCCUGCCCCUCACAGACAAUCCAUGCUGCUUGGUCAAUAAUCACUAGCAUUGGUAUUCAAUAGCUGGCAGGCAAGACGUUUUUAGGACAACUCUUCAACCCUAUACCACUGGAAAAUCUUAUCUAAAUUGAAUUUUUCAUUAUUCAACGAUUAAUUUAAAAGCCAAAAAGAUGGCUGGUGAAAAGCAUCAGACCCUACUGGAAAUUAAUGGAGUGCAAAUAUAAUAAACUUGAGCCUUAGGCCUCCUUCAAGAUUAGUAGGCGUGAAUCAGUGGUUUGAAACCUGGUUGCAUAUUAGAGUGACCCAAGGGGCUUUUUUAAAGUACUGAUGUUGAGCAAGCCCCUCCAGGGACCAUUUAAUAAAAUAUCAGGAGCAGGUAGGGCCAAGCAUCAGUCUGGCUAAGCCUGUCUCUCCCUCCAGGUGAUUUUGAUAUACACCCUGUUUUUGAGAAUCGCCCUUUCACAUUCUGGCCUGCCUGUGAGGAAAGAUAAUUUUGUAUUUGCCUACAAAUACUCCCAACUGUUUCUGCUAAGAGCAAGUGAUGCAUAAACUUGGAUGUGCACGGGAGAUGACUGGAGUAUUUUAAAACUGAUACCUGGGUCUUACUCCUCUAGAAUUCUGAGUUUUCAGUGACUGGACAAUCACCUCCAGGUGGUUCCAAAGUGUGAACGAGUUUGAGAACCACUGCUCUAUGAAAUUGAUGAGGACUUCACUUGCUCACUCACCUCAAAGCCUGAAAAGUCUGUGAUGAGUAUAACCAACCCUCUCUAUCUGUGGGUUCCACAUCCUCAGAAUAAACCAACCUUGGAUCACCUACAUGCAAAAAUUACACCUGUACUAAACAUGUGCUGGCUUUUUGAAAAUCAUUAUUCUCUUAAAAAAUAAAGUAUAACAACUAUAGACAAAGCAUUUACAUUGUUGUAUAGGUAAUCUAGAGAUGAUUUAAAGCAUAUAGAAAGAUGUGCUUGAUUAUAUGCAAAUACUGAGCAUCUUCACAGGGAGUUCUGGACCCAAUCCCCCUCAGGCACCAAGGGACAACUGUAUUUACAGGUUAGCACUCAAUGUAACCAAUAAAUAGCCUGCUAAAAUAAAAGAAAUUCCUCCUCUUUUCAGAACUAUCAGAUGCUCAAGUCUAGACUGCACAAAUAACCACAUAAAUGAGUGUUUAUUUUGAGUAAUAAGACAGAGUUGUAUCCAUAGAAACAACUGACUAAUAAUUAUAACAGCUAAUUAGGUAAGUGAUUUCCAAAAUCUAUUUUAAUGAUAACUAAUGCAAUGAACUUCAAACUUCUUAUUCAGUGACAUAUUUUCCAUACUUCUCUUAGCAGUUUGUCAAGGCCUGGCAGUAGGUCAACCAAAAGCCAAAAUUUUCAGCCCCAGCCAUGUUGAUUUAUCCCUCAGAACUACUCAGUGAGAAUUAAAGUAGCAUUCAACAAUAAGCUUGGGUUUGGGGGUCAAAUAGACCAUAAUCAGAGUCUCCUUUUCUCCGUUCAGAAGCAACCAGCCUCAGGAGUGGGUCUGAAGCUCCCCGCCCAUUUUCUCAUCAGCAAGAUGAAGCAGUGUCGUCUACUCCACAGCGUUGUUAUGAGGACUGGAGAUAAAUAACUUCCCUAUUAGAAUGCUUUGCACAUAGCUAUUACUAGAAAAAUUAUUGUAACUACUAUUUAACUUAUUGCCCCUAAUUGGGGGCUGUUCAGGAUUAACAUAGUACCAGAAUUUAAUCACUCUGGAGAGGAUGCCAGGUAUAAAGAUCAAAUCAUUCUGCCUUUCUGCCAUCUCAUCUGUGUCUGGCAAUAACUUGGCCUAACCACUCUAUUCUGCCCUAUUUUCCAGCUCAUUUUGAGGGUUUUUGUUUUGUUUUGUUUUGUUGACAAUGAACACAAUAUUUGGUGGUUUCUCUGGUGUUAUUGCCCUUCUAGGCCAUACUGGUUUCCUUCAAUUAUUCUCUGGGGCAAGGAUGACUAGAUAAUCCUUGAUAUUCUCUCAUUCCUCUCCCAUUUCUGCUUCCAUGUAAUUACCAAAUCCAUCUCUCACAAGCACGUUACUGAAGCUUAAUAAAAACAGAGAACUUUGCCAUCAUCAAUGGUAUUUGCUCAGCUAAGCAAACAAGCCUGUUUGAUAAGCCCAGAACCUUCUGUCCCUUUUCCCUCCUUGCCAGAGUCCCAGUGUCCUAGAGUUUGGACUAGCCCAAAAUUCAUUGCUCAGAUCCCCUGGUCUUCCAUAGAACUUCAUCACAGUAACUAACUUCAGCAGAACAAUUCUGACAAUGUACUUUUGCACACUCAAAAUGGAUCUCAACCGGUGCUAGAAGAGAGGUAUGGUUAUACACGAGUAAACAGAGGCCCAAAGAAUAGGUGACCUUCCUGCAAGUACACAGCUGGAGGAAAACUAAGGCCUGCGGAUGCCCAGUUUGGUUUUUCUGACAUCUGUACAUAGCACUAAAGUGAAAGUGUCCUCCAAUUUCAGCCCAGGGAAGAGUGAUAUUAAUUUUUCCCUGAGAGACUUUCUACUGGAUGAAUGUCUUAUGGCCAAAUGCAUGACUGACAGCAUUCAGCAGUCUAGCCAGGUCCCACACUAGAAAGAAAAAUCAAAUGGUCUUAAGAGGUUCCCAGAUCUCCAGAACACUGACACUGCAAAUUAUGUUACAGAGGAGUUCUGUGAACUGCUCCCGGAAAAGCCCACUCCACUUCUAUUGUCUCUACAAGCCUGAGGCACUUGAUCCAUAAGCUGGGGAGCCCUCUGCAGUACUGGAGGAGGAGACCGUCUCCCAGUGAGCAACCAUUUGCCUUAGGAUAGCUACAUCAAAAAGAUAUUUCAAGCCAGUCAGAUUUUACCAAAGGCAAAAAGAGCACUAGAGAAUAGCAACUGGUUAGUAGCUUGUUAGUUCUACCACUGUAAAGGAGAUACUACAGGGGGGAAAAAAAGGAAAAUACAUGAACAUUCUACAGAAGUUAUGAACACAACAGUAAGAGCAUCCACAGUAUCCCUUGUUCAUGGAGACUAUGGAGUCAGAGAAGAAUCUCAGCAUUGGAACAAAGCAGUAUGAAUAGAGUAUUGACAUCUUGUCAUCCUUAAAAAACAUUAGGGAAAUUCCUUCCCCAAUGCAGGAAUUGCUAUAACAAUAUUCCUACUAAGAGAUAGCACAGUCAAAAAGACCCCUCUUGGCCCAGCCGGAAGAAGGCAGCCUAGUAGAGUUUCCCAAAAUGCAAUACACAUCCUCAAGAGUAGCAAGUAUUUUUGAAAACUUAAGAACUGAAUCUCUUUUUAAAUUACUCAGGUUUUAAAAAAAUCACACAUUAGAAAAAAAGCAUAACUAGCACCAUAAGCUCAUGUCCAUUAUCACUUAGGAUGAAGACAAUGUAUUUAAAUGGGAAAAAAACAAGUUAGCUAAAGGAAAAUUUUUGAACAAAUGGACCUGGCCUUGGAUACAACAGUGAAGUUGGUACCAAAACAACUAAAUUUUGGGAAAUAUUAGCUACUGGUUAAAGAUGUCACCCAUGGACUUUGGAUUUAGAUUUCAGUUAGAAUCCUGAAUCUACUCCCCUGUCACUGCAUGAGAUUUAAGUCACUUAUAAGUGAGGAGGAUUACAGUGUCAACCUCAAAGGAUAAUAGCAAAGAUUCAGUUAAAUGAGAUACUGUAGGUAAAGGGGCUGGCAUAAGUGAUAAGUAGCCAUUAUUAAACCCUCCUGGAUUUAAUAGAUGAAACAAACCCUAUUAUGUAAACUUAGUUUAUACCACUUAGAAACGCACAGGAUCAGACACCAGUCUAGAGAGAUCAGUUCAGCCUGUAGUGGGCUUGUUAUCCUGCCACAGCCCCAGGACCAUCACCAACUUCCCCAGGGUUGCAGCUGCUCACAGCUAUCCUGAAGUUUGCCAGUUGGUGGGCACCAUGACUGUCACAUCGAGGUGCUAAUGCACUCCAGAUGUGGGUGCCGAGACUCAGCAAGCUUGUCUUCUUGAACAGCAUAGGGACCUCUCAACAUACUUGUAUUCUGAGCACACAGCUGACAGCUCUGUUCCGUUAGUAGGCCAGCAGGGACAGCCUGCAUCUUGACCACAGUGGGGAACACAAGAAGUCUCAAUGGGGGCUGUCAUGGGCUGUCUUGUCUUACCUUUCACAUACUGCAUUCCUGGGAGGAUUCCUUCAACAACCUGCACUGGCAGAGAACUAGGUGAAUUGAAGCAGCCUUUAUUCCCUGCAAGAAAGUUUCUUCGCAGGACCAUGGAGCGCAGGGUUGCCUUCCACUCAGAAGGCUUAGCUUUAAGGCUGGUUAUUUCUGAGAGAUGAAACCAAGAGCACCCAGUCUCACCAAGAGGAUUCAGGGGACAUGCUUAUUAUCAUUCUUCUUAGCACAAACAUCACAUGUACACAAUUUUAAAGAUUUAAAAGAUAGAAAAAAAAUGUAUAUAAAAAAAAAUUCCCAAAUGUCACAACCCAACAAAAAGUGUUAACAUUUGACAUUUCCUUCUGAUAUUUUCCUAUGAAAUCUUUUUUCAUAGUGGUAAUUAUGCUAUUUACAUGUAUGCCUAUUAUAUUAGAUUUUCCGCAUAUCAUUGGGGUUUCAAAAUAUUUUUUAUAAUGAUGAGAUCAUCGCAUCGUAUAGCUAUACCAUAAUGUGCUUAACGAAUGCCCUAUUAUGGGAUAUUUAAAUUUUCAUGUUUUUAUUAUCAUAAACAAUUCUAUAUUAAUAUCUUUGCGAAUGUAUCUUUGCUCAUACUUCAAAUUAUUAGCUCAGGGGAAUUUCUUGAUGUAGAAUCAUUGAGUUUAGCCGUAUAAAUAUUUUUGGUUUCUUGAUAUAUACUGUUUAAUUGCUUCCCAGAAAGAAUAUAUCACUUCACAGUCCUACGACAGGCCUAUGAAAUUGCCAUCUCACCAAAUUUUUGCCAGUG